rnacentral:rRNA from 1 species
AGACGGAGGGUGCAAGCGUUGUUCGGAUUUACUGGGCGUAAAGGGCGUGUAGGCGGAUCGGCAAGCCGGUGGUGAAAGGCCUGGGCUUAACCCGGGAUGGUCUUCCGGAACUGUCGGUCUAGAGAGAGUUAGAGGCAGGUGGAAUUCCCGGUGUAGAGGUGAAAUUCGUAGAGAUCGGGAGGAACACCCGCGGCGAAGGCGGCCUGCUGGGACUCUUCUGACGCUGAGGCGCGAAAGCGUGGGUAGCAAACAGGAUUAGAAACCCCAGUAGUCC